CCCUAAGAUGUUCUGGGCCGCACGCGCGCUACAAUGGAUGAUUCAGAAAGCCUUCCGCUGGGUCGACAGACUCGGCUAAACUUUUAAUGUCAUCCGUGAUUGGGAUUGUGGAUUGCAAUUUUUUCACAUGAACGAGGAAUUUCUAGUAAACGCGACUCAUCACGUCGCAUUGAUUACGUCCCUGCCCUUUGUACACACCGCCCGUCGCUACUACCGAUUGAAUCAUUCUACGAGGAGUUUGGAUUCGCGGUGACUCGCAGCAAUGCGACCAUCGUGUAGAAGAGCUUCUAGUAGGAUUAUUUAGAGGAAGUAAAAGUCGUAACA
rnacentral:rRNA from 1 species